rnacentral:rRNA from 1 species
UUGUCCGGAUUUACUGGGCGUAAAGAGCGCGCAGGCGGUCGUUCAAGUCGCGUGUGAAAGCCCCCGGCUCAACUGGGGAGGGUCACGCGAUACUGAUCGACUCGAAGGCAGGAGAGGGUAGUGGAAUUCCCGGUGUAGUGGUGAAAUGCGUAGAUAUCGGGAGGAACACCAGUGGCGAAGGCGACUGCCUGGCCUGUUUCUUGACGCUGAGGCGCGAAAGCUAGGGGAGCAAACGGG